UGCUUCUCUGAUGUUAGCGGCGGACGGGUGAGUAACACGUGGAUAACCUACCUAUAAGACUGGGAUAACUUCGGGAAACCGGAGCUAAUACCGGAUAAUAUUUUGAACCGCAUGGUUCAAAAGUGAAAGACGGUCUUGCUGUCACUUAUAGAUGGAUCCGCGCUGCAUUAGCUAGUUGGUAAGGUAACGGCUUACCAAGGCAACGAUGCAUAGCCGACCUGAGAGGGUGAUCGGCCACACUGGAACUGAGACACGGUCCAGACUCCUACGGGAGGCAGCAGUAGGGAAUCUUCCGCAAUGGGCGAAAGCCUGACGGAGCAACGCCGCGUGAGUGAUGAAGGUCUUCGGAUCGUAAAACUCUGUUAUUAGGGAAGAACAUAUGUGUAAGUAACUGUGCACAUCUUGACGGUACCUAAUCAGAAAGCCACGGCUAACUACGUGCCAGCAGCCGCGGUAAUACGUAGGUGGCAAGCGUUAUCCGGAAUUAUUGGGCGUAAAGCGCGCGUAGGCGGUUUUUUAAGUCUGAUGUGAAAGCCCACGGCUCAACCGUGGAGGGUCAUUGGAAACUGGAAAACUUGAGUGCAGAAGAGGAAAGUGGAAUUCCAUGUGUAGCGGUGAAAUGCGCAGAGAUAUGGAGGAACACCAGUGGCGAAGGCGACUUUCUGGUCUGUAACUGACGCUGAUGUGCGAAAGCGUGGGGAUCAAACAGGAUUAGAUACCCUGGUAGUCCACGCCGUAAACGAUGAGUGCUAAGUGUUAGGGGGGUUUCCGCCCCUUAGUGCUGCAGCUAACGCAUUAAGCACUCCGCCGGGGGAGUACGACCGCAAGGU
rnacentral:rRNA from 1 species